rnacentral:rRNA from 1 species
AUUGAACGCUGGCGGCGUGCUUAACACAUGCAAGUCGAUCGGUAACGCGGGGGCAACCCUGGCGACGAGAGGCGGACGGGUGAGGAACGCUUGGGAAUCUGCCUAUCAGCGGGGGACAACACGGGGAAACUCGUGCUAAUACCGCAUACGCUCUACGGAGGAAAGCCGGGGACCGCAAGGCCUGGCACCGAUAGAUGAGCCCAAGUCGGAUUAGCUAGUUGGCGGGGUAACGGCCCACCAAGGCGACGAUCCGUAGCUGGUCUGAGAGGACGAUCAGCCACACUGGGACUGAGACACGGCCCAGACUCCUACGGGAGGCAGCAGUGGGGAAUAUUGGACAAUGGGGGAAACCCUGAUCCAGCGACGCCGCGUGGGUGAAGAAGGCCUGCGGGUUGUAAGGCCCUUUCGGUAGGGACGAAAGCUCUCGACCUAACACGUCGGGAGGUUGACUUAACCUACAAAAGAAGCACCGGCUAACUCUGUGCCAGCCGCCGCGGUAAUAC